rnacentral:rRNA from 1 species
AUUGAACGCUGGCGGCAGGCCUAACACAUGCAAGUCGAGCGGUAGCACAGGGAGCUUGCUCCUGGGUGACGAGCGGCGGACGGGUGAGUAAUGUCUGGGAAACUGCCUGAUGGAGGGGGAUAACUACUGGAAACGGUAGCUAAUACCGCAUAACGUCGCAAGACCAAAGAGGGGGACCUUCGGGCCUCUUGCCAUCAGAUGUGCCCAGAUGGGAUUAGCUAGUAGGUGGGGUAACGGCUCACCUAGGCGACGAUCCCUAGCUGGUCUGAGAGGAUGACCAGCCACACUGGAACUGAGACACGGUCCAGACUCCUACGGGAGGCAGCAGUGGGGAAUAUUGCACAAUGGGCGCAAGCCUGAUGCAGCCAUGCUGCGUGUAUGAAGAAGGCCUUCGGGUUGUAAAGUACUUUCAGCGGGGAGGAAGGUGUUGAGGUUAAUAACCUCAGCAAUUGACGUUACCCGCAGAAGAAGCACCGGCUAACUCCGUGCCAGCAGCCGCGGUAACAC